GAUGAACGCUGGCGGCGUGCUUAACACAUGCAAGUCGAACGAUGAUCCCCAGCUUGCUGGGGGGAUUAGUGGCGAACGGGUGAGUAACACGUGAGUAACCUGCCCUUGACUCUGGGAUAAGCCUGGGAAACUGGGUCUAAUACCGGAUAUGACCUUCCAUCGCAUGGUGGUUGGUGGAAAGCUUUUGUGGUUUUGGAUGGACUCGCGGCCUAUCAGCUUGUUGGUGGGGUAAUGGCCUGCCAAGGCGACGACGGGUAGCCGGCCUGAGAGGGUGACCGGCCACACUGGGACUGAGACACGGCCCAGACUCCUACGGGAGGCAGCAGUGGGGAGUAUUGCACAAUGGGCGCAAGCCUGAUGCAGCGACGCCGCGUGAGGGAUGACGGCCUUCGGGUUGUAAACCUCUUUCAGUAGGGAAGAAGCGAAAGUGACGGUACCUGCAGAAGAAGCGCCGGCUAACUACGUGCCAGCAGCCGCGGUAA
rnacentral:rRNA from 1 species